GACGGGGGCCCGCACAAGCGGUGGAGCAUGUGGUUUAAUUCGACGCAACGCGAAAAACCUUACCUGGGUUUUGACAUGCCGAGUACCCGAUGGAAACAUUGGGGUGCCCCGUAAGGGGAACUUGGACACAGGUGCUGCAUGGCUGUCGUCAGCUCGUGCCGUGAGGUGUUGGGUUAAGUCCCGCAACGAGCGCAACCCUCACCCUUAGUUGCCAUCAUUAAGUUGGGCACCCUAAGGGAACUGCCGCAGUUAAUGCGGAGGAAGGUGGGGAUGACGUCAAGUCCUCAUGGCCCUUAUAUCCAGGGCUACACACGUGCUACAAUGGACGGUACAAAGGGUCGCGAACCUGCAAAGGGGAGCUAACCCCAGAAAACCGCUCUCAGUUCGGAUUGGAGUCUGCAACCCGACUCCAUGAAGUUGGAAUCGCUAGUAAUCGCGGAUCAGAACGCCGCGGUGAAUACGUUCCCGGGCCUU
rnacentral:rRNA from 1 species